rnacentral:rRNA from 1 species
UACAGAGGGUGCGAGCGUUAAUCGGAAUUACUGGGCGUAAAGCGUGCGUAGACGGUCGCGUAAGUCAGAUGUGAAAGCCCCGGGCUCAACUUGGGAACGGCAUUGGAAACAGGCGAGCUAGAGUGUGGCAGAGGGGGGUGGAAUUCCGCGUGUAGCAGUGAAAUGCGUAGAGAUGCGGAGGAACACCGAUGGCGAAGGCAGCCCCCUGGGCUGACACUGACGCUCAGGCACGAAAGCGUGGGGAGCAAACAGG